rnacentral:tRNA from 1 species
GGCUCUAUAGUGGAAAAGAAAGAUGUUAGAUUGCAAAUCUAGAGAUGUGUAGGUUAGAACACUAGGGCUU